GAUGAACGCUGGCGGCGUGCCUCAAACAUGCAAGUCGAGCGGGGCUAUGUUGGACCGUAAGGGAAGAUAUAGCCUAGCGGCGAACGGGUGAGUAACACGUGGGUAACCUACCUGGAAGACAGGGAUAACGAUUCGAAAGGGUCGCUAAUACCUGAUAAUAUCUAACAGUCGGAUGGCAGUUAGAAGAAAGGGGAAACCCGCUUUCAGAUGGGCCCGCGUCCCAUCAGCUAGUUGGUAAGGUAAUGGCUUACCAAGGCGAUGACGGGUAGGGACCUGAGAGGGUGGCCCCCCACAAUGGAACUGAAACACGGUCCAUACACCUACGGGUGGCAGCAGUAGGGAAUAUUAGUAAUGGGCGAAAGCCUGAACUAGCAACGCCGCGUGUGCGAAGAAGGCCUUCGGGUUGUAAAGCACUUUUUGAGUAGGAUGAGGAAGGACGGUACUCUCAGAAUAAGUCUCGGCUAACUACGUG
rnacentral:rRNA from 1 species